GUGGGGAAUAUUGGGCAAUGGGCGCAAGCCUGACCCAGCAACGCCGCGUGAAGGAAGAAGGUCUUCGGAUUGUAAACUUCUGUCAUUGGGGACGAAGGAAGUGACGGUACCCAAUGAGGAAGCCCCGGCUAACUACGUGCCAGCAGCCGCGGUAAUACGUAGGGGGCGAGCGUUGUCCGGAAUUACUGGGCGUAAAGGGUGCGUAGGCGGCGAUGCAAGUCCAUUGUGAAAAGCCCGGGCAUAACCUGGGAGGUGCAGUGGAAACUGCAUGGCUUGAGUGCAGGAGAGGAAAGUGGAAUUCCUAGUGUAGCGGUGAAAUGCGUAGAUAUUAGGAGGAACACCAGUGGCGAAGGCGGCUUUCUGGACUGUAACUGACGCUGAGGCACGAAAGCGUGGGGAGCAAACAGGAUUAGAAACCCUUGUAGUCC
rnacentral:rRNA from 1 species